UAUGAGCUUCAUAGCAAAAAGGGAAGGAAGUCCAUCCAUGAGGCUCCAGACGCUGAGAUACUACAUUCUUUUACAUACAGCCAUACCUGCUCAUCUAUGGUUAGUAUGGGUAGAGAUGUGGCAUCUCUGUGGUGGUUAGAGACUACUGUCAAAAGAUGGGAACAUAAAUUAAUUUAAAUGGCUUCAUCUCUUCUAAGUAAUCUGACAUGGGCAGCUGCUGCUGGGUUCACAAGAAGACACUCCUGCAGCUCCCCAGCUACCCACAGGCUUGCUAUGUAAGCCCAGUAUACCUCAUCUUGCUACAGAGUAACAGAGUAUGGUUGCAGAGAUGAAAUGGGAUAACAAACAUCACCUUCAGGGCUGAAACAGCUCUGUUCCCAAACUGAAUUUUGCUUUUAAGUUGUGCAGGAUGAUAACUAUACUUGUUUUACGUUUGGAGUGACAGAAAAACAACAGUGAAGGCAUAGAGUCCGUGAGGACAGCUGUAAGAAUUCAUUAAUCAUGAAUACAUAUCCAGGAAGGCUGGUUGAAUGCCUGACAUUAACACUUCUGCUAGUGAAUCUACUGCUCUGGUAGAGUCCCCUGUGAAAAAUUGUCAGAAACUUUUAAGUUUGUAGUAGUUUCGUAUGAAAAACCAGAAAGUUACUAUAAAAUAAAUGAAGUAAAUAGACAUGAAAAUUGGGUGUGUAUGGAGAUGAGCUUUUAGCUGAAACUAGUUUUAAUUUAUUAUUGGAAAAUAAACUUCAUAGGGAGGUGAGAAUGGACAGAAAGCAUUAAGUUAUGAAAUCAAAUCUGUUGCAGGUAGUUUUUAAUAUAAUCCCAGUGCAUCCAGCUCCAUAUACAGCUAAUUAGGUGGUUUGCUCUGAAACCUUCUAAUAAACUCUGAAGCCUUCUAGUACUGUAGCUACUCUUCUGGGGAAUAGCAACCUUCUUGUAACUUCCAUGCCAGAUGCAGUCAUUUAUUUGAGGUUUAGAAUGUUUAAAUAAGGGAGAAAAGCCUUGGAAAUAGUUCUGCAUGCUUGGUUAAUAUCCUUGUGAGUUCUAAUUUUUAGCAGCAUACAUACAGCUGUUUAAAAAACAAACAUGUUUUUAAAACGAAGUUUCUAGUUAAGCAUAUUGCAUUUGUGCAUUUACUUGAUUUCAGGUACAUACAUCCGUAUUUUUACCUAUCCACAAUUAACCAUGGACUACUAACAAACUGCUGUCCAGUCCAUCAGAACAAAUAAUUGUUUUUCUACAUGCUUUUUAUUCCAUUUCACUAUAGCUGUCUGUGGCCCUAAAAAAGUAUAGAGCCCUAGCAGUAUAUCUUAAAGCUAGUUAUUAGGGAAGCAGAGUACUUUUUGUUUGACCAAGGAGGGUGUUUCCACUGACUGCAGUAGAAGAACCAGAGUAUAAAAUCCAGAUCUUGUGCAGGCAGGCCAGAUCUAUGAUAGCAGUUGGACUCGGUGUGGCAACUGUUGCAUUUGCAGGUCGUUAUGCAUUCCACCUUUGGAAGCCAUUGGGGCAGGCAAUUACAGAGACAGCAAAAAAGAUUUCAACUUCUAGUCUUUCAUUAUACUAUAAAGGAGGAUUUGAGCAGAAAAUGAGUAGGCGUGAAGCAAGUCUUAUUUUAGGUGUAAGUCCAUCUGCUGACAAGGCCAAAAUCAGAGCAGCCCAUAGAAGAAUCAUGAUCUUGAAUCAUCCUGAUAAAGGAGCACCAGGUGAAGGGAUUUGUGCCUCCAUGCUGCCCCUGCAGCUCUUCUGUCAUGGCCAAAGAGAGAAGUGUUGUCUAAUGUCUUCAGCUGCAGAGUUCAGACCUGGAACAAUCUUGAACAUGUGGCAUUGCAGAGAGAUUUGCUUGGUUAUGUUUUCAACUUCAUUUCUUCUGGCUCUGGUAGCACAGAUGUGCUUUUACAAGCAAUAUCCAACAUUAGAAUGUAAUUCUACCAGCUGGCGUUGGUAGAAGAAAGAUCAAUAAAUACAGAUUUGAAAAGUUACUCAUAUUACCUGAGAUUCAAAACAAUGAAGAAACCGUGAUUAGAAAUAAAUCACUAAUAGAAGUUUGCAUAAGAACAUCCCUGGUGAGCAGUACUAGAAUGGUUGCUCAUUAACCUUUGCACAGUUCAGUUUGAAAGUGUUUUUAUAUUGAUAUACUGUAUGUUAUUUUUAUAUGUAUUAUUUAUUCUGUGAAAGAAUGCUUGCUAACAGAAACAGAGGAAGAGAUGAGUCUUUUGGACUUGCUUUAAUUAUAAACAAACACUUAAGCAAUCAUGAGAUUGAAUUUUCUCUCAUUGGAGGGCUGCAAAAUUAAUAUGGCACUUGAGGGUGUUUCAGGAUGUGAACAUAGUAAAAACACUUCUCACUGAAUUGAAUUUACUUUAAGAUUCACUCUAGUAAUGUAGAAACUGAAGGCAAAGUUGAAAAUUACUUGGGAUACAAAGUUUAUUGCAGCUUAUAGUCCUUACUUGUCAGGGUUUUGAAAGAAGCAGUACUCAGUGUAGUAGACAAUUUUCUGUCCUUGCCCUGCCUCACUUUCCUCACAUGCCUUUGCUAUUAGGACUGCAUUCAAGCAAAACAGAGCAUGAACAAGACAGCUGAACUCCGUUAUUUUUUCCAGCUGUUUUAUUAGGCUAUGAACUGACUUUAGAAUGAUUUGGAUUCCUGCAAAAGUGACCUGAAGAAGUCUUUGUGUUUACGAGCGUUUAGUGCUAGUUCUUCUGUGUGUCUUCUAUCACUGUCUGCUGUGAUGAAUGAAGAGUUACGAUUGAGCAGCCCCCUUGGAAAAGGCUGGUGGAUCUCCUUACUUAGCAACAAAAAUAAACGAAGCAAAAGACUUGCUGGAAUCCAGUACCAAAAAUUGAAAUCCUAAGACUUGCAU